GUCCACGCCGUAAACGAUGGGUGCUAGGUGUCGCGGGCUUUGACCCCUGCGGUGCCGCAGCUAACGCAUUAAGCACCCCGCCUGGGGAGUACGGCCGCAAAGGCUAAAAACUCAAAGGAAUUGACGGGGGCCCCGCACAAGCGGUGGAGCAUGUGGUUUAAUUCGACGCAACGCGCAGAACCUUACCUGGGCUAGAAAAUGCGAGAACCUGGUUGAAAGGUCGGGGUGCGUCUUCGGAGAACUCGUAGUUAGGUGCUGCAUGGCUGUCGU
rnacentral:rRNA from 1 species